rnacentral:snRNA from 1 species
GUGCUCGAUUCGGCAGCACAUAUACUAAAAUUGGAAAGAUACAGAGAAGAUUAGCAUGGCCCCUAUGCAAGGAUGACAUGCAAAUUCGUGAAGCAUUCCAUAUUUUU